GCGAUGAUAAUGAUGAUUAUGAUGGUUAUUAUCAAUGAUUUUUCCUCUAUUUUUUCUUAAUUUAUUUUUUUCACAUUCCCUCUCUUAUUUUUCUUUUUACUUUUUUUUUUUUCCUUUCUAAAUGCUAUAGAAAAAGAUUUUAUGAGAGUAGAU